AGAGGAGCCUGGUGGACCAUAGUCCAUGGGAUUGCAGAGUCAGAUAUUUCUGGGAGGCUAACACUUUCACUUUAUUUUCAAAAGAGGAGAGAAAGCUUCCAGAUAGACAAGGCAGGGAAUGGUGUGUCAGAAAGAAGAAUUAAUAUGUGCAUAACACUAGAAGAAUUGUCAAGGUGCCUCACAGAAGAGGGGUGUUAGGUACAGAAGUCUAGAAGAUGUUGGAAGAAACCCAAAGAUCAGAUCAUGAAGGAUUUGGGGUAGUCUUUGGACUUUAUCGUGUAGCACCGGGCUUCUUGAACCAUCUAUGGCAAGAGGCAGUUGUUGGUUUUUAUUCCCCAAUAUGUCACAGGCCAAAAGAAGGAUGGGGUUUGUGAUUCAUCACGUGGGUUCGGAAGCAUCCUGUAUUUACCCUGUUCAGUGACACAAGUCCACUCAUCACAUGCUCAGGUAUCAUGGCGAUGUCAAAUGUUUAUAGUCUCCAAAUGCUUGCUCUCCGUUUCUGCACUUACCUUAUCAUGAACAGACUGGCUGCCCCUGCCUCUGGAGCACAUUUGAAUGGCACAGUUGAGGAGGAGAAACCAGCAGGAAUGAUGUCAGCAGGGAAAUGCUUCAAUCAAAUGUGUGUCCUGGUAAUGUCACGCUGGCAGCAAGGUGGAGAAAGACUUACUGAGUCAGGAGAUGAGGCAGGAAACGGGUGCAGAGAAGAGAUGGCAAAGUCUUUCCCAUCUGAGCCAUCAGGCAAACCCAAACAAGCAAAAAUUAGUGGAUGCAAAAAUCCUUGUGCCAUGUGUUGAAAGGUAAGGAUUAUUUACAAAUAUUUAUUUAUUAAUUUGGCUGCACCGGGUCCUGGUUGUGGCCUGUGGAAUCUUAGGUUGGGACACUUGAACUCCUAGUUGUGGCCUGUGGGGUCCAGUUCCCUGACCAGGGAUCAAACCCAGGCCCCUUGCCUUGGGAGCGCAGAGUCUUAGCCACUGGACCACCAGGGAGGUCCCAAAAGAUAAGUUUAAAAAUAGGCAGUAACAGGAAGAUAGGACUUUAAUGGUGGGUGGAUGAAUAUACUGAAAGCACUGGAGAGGGCGUACCGCAUGUCAAGAAUGAAGCAGGUACGCAUGUGAACAGGCUGGAAGUCUAUAGUAAGAUGGAGUAAAUUGGAAGUGGAAUUGUUGAGAAGAAAAAAAAAGUUGAAAAAAUUCAGAAAAGGAACAGAAUACCAGUUAACAUUUAUAUGAGAAGUCGUGAAAGACCACACAAGUACAAAUGCAAAAAACGGGGGGCAAAGAGACCACUGCACCCGGGCAGCCUGAGCUUGCUUUCCCAUUGCCGCACGAGCCUCUCCGUCUUCUUUAUCCCCCAUAUUCAGCCCUAAUCUCACCUCUCCUGGCUUCAGCGUCUGCUCACAAACCUCCACUGUAGCACACACGUGCCCCUGUGUUGUAGUCACCUGUUUACGCGGCGCUCUCCACCUUCUUACUGUUUGCACACUUAGUCUUGAGCUCAUAAGAAAGGCAGCAUUGGGGUCUGAAUAGG
rnacentral:lncRNA from 1 species